AUACCUUUCUCAGCCUUUUGGCUAAGAUCAAGUAUAGUAUCUGUUCUUAUCAGUUUGAUAUCUGAUAUUGUGAGGCACUGCUUCACGAUGAUAUAUUGAACUAAUUUUUUUGUGGGAAAGGAGUCACAAUAGUGGCAUUGCCACUUGGUUUCCUUGGGCGUCGCUCAAGCAUUGCACUAUAGCUUGGGCUUGGCGCACCCAAC
rnacentral:snRNA from 2 species